UACGUAGGGGGCUAGCGUUGUCCGGAAUCAUUGGGCGUAAAGCGCGUGUAGGCGGUCCGGUAAGUCCGCUGUGAAAGUCGGGGGCUCAACCCUCGGAUGCCGGUGGAUACUGUCGGGCUUGAGUACGGAAGAGGCGAGUGGAAUUCCUGGUGUAGCGGUGAAAUGCGCAGAUAUCGGGAAGAACACCCGUGGCGAAGGCGGUUCUCUGGGACGGUACUGACGCUGAGACGCGAAAGCGUGGGGAGCGAACAGG
rnacentral:rRNA from 1 species